rnacentral:rRNA from 1 species
AGAGUUUGAUCCUGGCUCAGGACGAACGCUGGUGGCGUGCUUAACACAUGCAAGUCGAGCGAUGAAGCUUCUCGGGAGUGGAUUAGCGGCGGACGGGUGAGUAACACGUGGGUAACCUGCCUCAUAGAGGGGAAUAGCCUUUCGAAAGGAAGAUUAAUACCGCAUAAGAUUGUAGUACCGCAUGGUACAGCAAUUAAAGGAGUAAUCCGCUAUGAGAUGGACCCGCGUCGCAUUAGCUAGUUGGUGAGGUAACGGCUCACCAAGGCGACGAUGCGUAGCCGACCUGAGAGGGUGAUCGGCCACAUUGGGACGGAGACACGGCCCAGACUCCUACGGGAGGCAGCAGUGGGGAAUAUUGCACAAUGGGGGGAAAAACCCCCUGAUGCAGCAACGCCGCGUGAGUGAUGACGGCCUUCGGGUUGUAAAACUCUGUCUUUGGGGACGAUAAUGACGGUACCCAAGGAGGAAGCCACGGCUAACUACGUGCCAGCCGCCGC